GAGUGCUUGCACUCAAUUGGAAAGAGGAGUGGCGGACGGGUGAGUAACACGUGGGUAACCUACCCAUCAGAGGGGGAUAACACUUGGAAACAGGUGCUAAUACCGCAUAACAGUUUAUGCCGCAUGGCAUAAGAGUGAAAGGCGCUUUCGGGUGUCGCUGAUGGAUGGACCCGCGGUGCAUUAGCUAGUUGGUGAGGUAACGGCUCACCAAGGCCACGAUGCAUAGCCGACCUGAGAGGGUGAUCGGCCACACUGGGACUGAGACACGGCCCAGACUCCUACGGGAGGCAGCAGUAGGGAAUCUUCGGCAAUGGACGAAAGUCUGACCGAGCAACGCCGCGUGAGUGAAGAAGGUUUUCGGAUCGUAAAACUCUGUUGUUAGAGAAGAACAAGGACGUUAGUAACUGAACGUCCCCUGACGGUAUCUAACCAGAAAGCCACGGCUAACUACGUGCCAGCAGCCGCGGUAAUACGUAGGUGGCAAGCGUUGUCCGGAUUUAUUGGGCGUAAAGCGAGCGCAGGCGGUUUCUUAAGUCUGAUGUGAAAGCCCCCGGCUCAACCGGGGA
rnacentral:rRNA from 1 species